rnacentral:sRNA from 1 species
AGCAGCCGCGGUAAUUCCAGCUCCAAUAGCGUAUAUUAAAGUUGUUGCAGUUAAAAAGCUCGUAGUUGAAUUUCGGGAUCAAUACGCCUGUCGUGCCUUCGGUACGUACGGGUGUAAUUGGUUUCUACCUUCUGAGGAUCCUUGAUGUCAUUAAUUUGGUGUCUUGGGGAAUCAGGACUGUUACCUUGAAAAAAUUAGAGUGUUUAAAGCAGGCAUACGCUUGAAUACAUUAGCAUGGAAUAAUGAAAUAGGACGUUCGAUUCUAUUUUGUUGGUUUCUAGGAUCGACGUAAUGAUUAAUAGGGAUAGUUGGGGGCAUUAGUAUUCAAUUGUCAGAGGUGAAAUUCUUGGAUUUAUUGAAGACUAACUACUGCGAAAGCAUUUGCCAAGGAUGUUUUCAUUAAUCAAGAACGAAAGUUAGGGGAUCGAAGACGAUCAGAUACCGUCGUAGUCUUAACCAUAAACUAUGCCGACUAGGGAUCGGAUGAUGUUAAUUUUUUAAUGACUCAUUCGGCGCCUUA